CACAGAGGCCAUCUUUGGCUCAUUUAUGUAACCAUUCAUCCCUUGAAGAACAUCUGGGUUGUUUCCAGUGGGCAAUUAUAAACAGAGCCUCUAUCAACAUUCCUGUACCAGUUUUAGAAUGAACAUAAAUUUAUAUUUCUCUAAGUACUCAGGAGUAGAAUUGACGUUCUGUCAUAUGGAUAGCCACUGAGCAAGCCUGUAAGGCUAUUGGUCUGCCCAUUCUGGUUUCUUCACCAAUGAGAAAACUGGGACCUGGGGAGUUUGCAGAAGCCAUCCAAGGGCACCUGCUUCUCACAGCACAGCAGCUUCCUGCAGCCCUCCCUCCUGUCUUGUUUCUCCCUUAAUUGAGAGGAGAGGCCAGAACCAGAUGCAGGCAGUUCCAACAGUAAUGAAUUGCUCUAAGGUGUGGAUCCAAGAACCGGUGACAAGGUCAGGAAAUUCCAUCCCGGGACACUGACCCAACUAAGAGACUGUGCAUGAUGGCUAAGUUCAGAGCUCUGAGGAGAUGGUAAAACUCAUUUGCAACGAAACAAGAUAUUUUCCAACUCUGCAGCCAGAAACCAUCCUCCUGGCUGUCUCACCAUCAGCGCCACCUCUCCGUGGGUCUGGAGUCUUGAGGAGCCAGGACUGGACUGGGAUGUAAGGUUGGGUCUUCCGAGCUGUAGAUGGGAGCAGGAAGAUGUAUCUCCAUUCACGAUCUCAGUACAAGGCUCAGCUAUCUCCCGGCAACUCGCCCAUCAUCUGUUUCUGAGUUCUUCUGACAUACAGGUGCAGAAAGCUGGAAGUGAUGCUCCAGGGAGUUUAUGUCUCCCCAUCUUGACCCACACCAAUACCUGAGGCUCGUUGCUUUGAUUCAAGUCCGGACAAGCUCUAAGGUUCAGCUCACACUGGGAGUCACGCUGCAGGAGCUCCUGGGAGUCUGUGAACGGUGGUGAUGCAGAAAAGCAAAGCGUGUAUAUCUGUUUUAGUCCUCCCUCAGAUCUGCUGAGGACACCUUGAGCCUGAAGUGAAAUCACAGUGGCUCUCAGGAAGAAGGGUGACUGUCUGGUGUGCAGUUGUGCUGCCACGGCAAAGGGAACUUUAAAACAUAGAACUGCCAUGUAGAAGCUCAGGAAAUAUCCAUGGUCUGUCAUCUCUUUUGGUCAUAGAAUCAAAAAAAAUGGAAGACGAGAAAAGGCAGUGAAGACUGACAGCCUGUUGGUUGCUAUUCCAGUCGUGUCUGCUCCAUACGCGCCCUCCAUCUCAUCCCACCCAGUCAGUAUAUUUUCACCAGGCAGUGUUGCAGAAAUGUCUGUGGACUCCAGUUCUAUUGCAGUCAGGCAGCAUUUACAGGUUUGACUUUCAACUGACCAUGGCAGGAAGUCUAGAGGCAAUUAUAGCCAACACCUGCUCUAUGUGCGUGCCGGGCAGGUGGUGGCUGAUUCCUUGCCUCCAAUCCAUGAUGUGUUUCCUAUCAGCUCAGAAUAAUAACAGUGACACCUCUGCUUCUUCUCUGUCUGGGGGAGCUCAAGGCACUUUACUCUGAAAACCCUCAAAUUACUGGCAUUUCUUUUAGUGAAGAUAUCAAAUUAAUGACUGAAAAAAAUGUAGAAGAUGGUUAUUGGUGAUGUUAAAAGACAAGUUUAACCCACUUCCACACAACAUGUCUUACAAGCGUAAAGUAUUUGAGUAGAGAAAACUAUGAAUCUAAAAUUGAACAAGAUGUGAAUUUAGACAGACAGCGUUUGUGGUCACAGAUGUGCCGAGAUGAAGACUGGAGGAAGGGCACAGUUUCUGUAGCAGUGACUUCCACCCAGGGUGUGUCUUGCUAUUGUGUGAAAUGAUUUUUGACACUGGACAAAUCUCUACUUCCACUUACAAUGUUUUGCCAGCUAGCUGAGGCAUUCUGGGAGGGUGAGGAGCCUGGGCUUGGGCUGACCUCAGGAAAUCCUGUGUAAAGGGCUUUUGCACACUCAGAAGCAGGCCAGGUUCACCGCUGUUAUGUGCAAUAUUCACUCCUGGCUCUUGCUUCUGAGCCUUGGCAAACCUGAGUCCUAAGAGGCCAAUGAAAAGGAAAACACGUUAAGGAGCCAGGGCGCUUCUUGGAUAUCAGCCUGAAUAGUUCUGUUUCAUCUGGACCCCAAUUUUACUCUCCUGCUGUUUUACACGGAACUAAAAAGAGCUUUACAGAGGACCAGAUAGACUGCAGGUCCCUAGGCAGUCAGGGGCCAGGCAAGGCAUAGGAGGGUGUCAGGCCUCUGAGCUCAAACUAGGCCAUCAUAUCCCCUGUGACCUGCACGUACACAUCCAGAUGGCUGGUUCCUGCCUUAACUGAUGGCAUUGUCUUGUGAAAUUCCUUCUCCUGGCUCAUCCUGGCUCAAGAGCUCCCCUACUGAGCACGUUGUGACCCCCACUCCUGCCUGCCAGAGAACAACCCCCCUUUGACUGUAAUUUUCCUUUACCUACCCAAAUCCUAUAAAAUGGCCCCACCCCUAUCUCCCUUCACUAACUCUCUUUUCGGACUCAGCCUGCCUGCACCCAGGUGAAAUAAACAGCCUUGUUGCUCACACAAA
rnacentral:lncRNA from 1 species